rnacentral:rRNA from 1 species
UACGUAGGGGGCAAGCGUUGUCCGGAAUCAUUGGGCGUAAAGCGCGUGUAGGCGGCCAGAAAAGUCCGCUGUGAAAACUCGAGGCUCAACUUCGAGCUGUCGGUGGAAACUUUCUGGCUAGAGUCCGGAAGAGGAGAAUGGAAUUCCUGGUGUAGCGGUGAAAUGCGCAGAUAUCAGGAAGAACACCCGUGGCGAAGGCGGUUCUCUGGGACGGUACUGACGCUGAGGCGCGAGAGCGUGGGGAGCAAACAGG